CCUACGGGUGGCAGCAGUGGGGAAUAUUGCACAAUGGGGGGAACCCUGAUGCAGCGACGCCGCGUGAGUGAAGAAGUAUUUCGGUAUGUAAAGCUCUAUCAGCAGGGAAGAAAAUGACGGUACCUGACUAAGAAGCCCCGGCUAACUACGUGCCAGCAGCCGCGGUAAUACGUAGGGGGCAAGCGUUAUCCGGAUUUACGGGGUGUAAAGUGAGCGCAGACGGCUGUGCAAGUCUGGAGUGAAAGGCGGGGGCGCAACCCCCGGACUGCUCUGGAAACUGUAAAGCUGGAGUGCAGGAGAGGUAAGCGGAAUUCCUAGUGUAGCGGUGAAAUGCGUAGAUAUUAGGAGGAACACCAGUGGCGAAGGCGGCUUACUGGACUGCAACUGACGUUGAGGCUCGAAAGCGUGGGGAGCAAACAGGAUUAGAUACCCCAGUAGUC
rnacentral:rRNA from 1 species